UGUAAUCUGGUGUUUGUUAGCAUUUUAUGUUUUGGUCGUAAAGGGAAGUAGUUUUUGAUUACAG
rnacentral:tRNA from 1 species